UGGUUUCGAUUCCCCGGUUGUACGUGACAAGGAGUAGGGUUGCCUGUCCUACCUGGUGGUUUUUUUUCGGGUCCUCUGGUUUCCUCCCACUGCUAAAGACGCUUGUGCGCAAUCGAAUUAUUGAAAUAAAAUUGAACCAUAUGUUAGUCCCAAAAUGCCCUAGUUUGUGUCGAGUGGAUGUUAAACCCCAUAUCUCUCUCCCGAGACUUUCUCUGCUUUAAUAUGAAAGUUAUUUUGCCAAAACUACAUGUUGCUUAAUGUUAUAAGAUGUUAUUUAAUCUGUUAUUUGUUAUAUUUUGCGAUUUAUUAUUUAUUCAGGGUCAGAUUUUGACAUGAGCUGAAUAAACUACAGUUUUAGGAUCUGACAAUCAGAAGGGGCCUACUAAUUUAACCCAAUUGACCAGGGGCCUGUUUCACGAAAUUUUAACUAAGAUAAAAUCUAAAUUUUAGUAAUUUGAUUGGAUAAUAUUGGAUUGAUUUUAGUGCUUAGCCAAUCAAAAUUGAUGUAUGUAUCUACUAAAAUUUGGAUUUUAUCUUUUGUUAAAAUUUUGUGAAACAGGGCCCUGAUUUUUAGUCUCCAAUUACUAAACUAUUUGGUAGCCUUUUUCACUGUAAACACUCACAAAAUAGGAUCUAGUUAAUUAUCUUCCCAUAGCUUAGAGACUCACACAGUAUCAUAGCUGGGGCCAUUGAUGGGUGGUCUGCCAAUGGCAACACUUUUGGUCUACUGCAUUGAAAAUAAAUUACAUUUCUAGUGAGAAUGACACAAUUUUAUUUUUCCAUGAAAAAAACGAAAACCCUGUUUCACAUUUUAAAUUAUUUUAAUGUAUAUUCUGCUGUGUUUUUCAAGAGAAAGUCAAGAACCACCCAACAAACUAGACAGAUUCUAGGUAUGAUGACAUACAAAUUGGACAGACUCUAGGUGUGUUGACAUGUCUAUGUUCUGCACAAAUUCUAGGUAUGUCAUCAACAUGUCUAUUGUUCUGUACAAACUCUAGGUAUGUCAUCAACAUAUCUAUUGUUCUGUACAAACUCUAGGUAUGUCAUCAACAUGUCUAUUGUUCUGUACAAACUCUAGGUAUGUCAUCAACAUGUCUAUUGUUCUGUACAAACUCUAGGUAUGUCAUCAACAUGUCUAUUGUUCUGUGCAGACUCUAGGUAUGUCAUCAACAUGUCUAUUGUUCUGUACAAACUCUAGGUAUGUCAUCAACAUGUCUAUUGUUCUGUGCAGACUCUAGGUAUGUCAUCAACAUGUCUAUUGUUCUGUACAAACUCUAGGUAUGUCAUCAACAUGUCUAUUGUUCUGUAAAAACUCUAGGUAUGUCAUCAACAUGUCUAUUGUUCUGUACAAACUCUAGGUAUGUCAUCAACAUGUCUAUUGUUCUGUACAAACUCUAGGUAUGUCAUCAACAUGUCUAUUGUUCUGUACAAACUCUAGGUAUGUCAUCAACAUGUCUAUUGUUCUGUACAAACUCUAGGUAUGUCAUCAACAUGUCUAUUGUUCUGUGCAGACUCUAGGUAUGUCAUCAACAUGUCUAUUGUUCUGUGCAGACUCUAGGUAUGUCAAUGGCACUGCCCUAUCAACAAGUCUACGCUCGGGUCUGUAUUUAUGUUUAUCUAUAUUUCUGUAUUAAAUUAAUUAAAGAGGCAUUAUGGGAGAUUAGAUAAGAGUUGACAGUUCUCGCUAUUAUAGUUAAAUAAUAGAUAAUAUAAAGGGAAUAUGCUGAAAAUCGCUCCACUAUGAACCAAGAUAUUAGCGAUUGAAUUUUAGUCUAGCCUCGAACAUCAUUACUAAAGUCAGUACAAUAAAAAACAAAGUCUUGAUUACCUAUUUUAAAGUUUAAUUAUUUUUCAAAAAUGUAUUCCCGUCCGCUAAAUAUCGCAGGCCAGCGAUGGCAGCGAAAGUUGAUUAUGGUCUGGAUAAGUUAAUUAAUGUCUAAUUAAUAAUUUUAGAUACCAUUUCAGGCCUAAAGAAAGACCCGCAAUAGGCAGAUUUACCUCUUGUAUGUUUAAUUUAUUUGAUGAUAAUAUGUUGAUCAGUAUUAUUAAUUAGUGAUAUUAUUAAUCGACAGUGGUGUAUAGAGGUUUAAAAAUGACCGUGUGUCAUGUAGGACCUAGUACUCAGAAACACGAGAAAGGAAGACAUUUUAUAUUUGUAUAAAAAAACAAACAAAAUAUGGCAGCUUGCUCAACAAUGUUAAUAACAAAACAAUAAUUUCAAAUUUCAACAAAAUUAAUUUGAUUUGAUGCCUUAGGCCAUUGUCCUCUUUGCCCCCCCCCCCCUUCCCACCUCUGUAUGCCACUGUUAAUCUGUGAUAAGUCAGUAUUAUUAUGUACCUGUAUUGAAUACAUAUUACCUGUAUUCUAUACCUGUAUCAUUAUUUACCUGUAUUCCAUUCAUGGUUAAUUUAUUUUAAUAAAUGAAUAUUUAUUAGUCAA